rnacentral:miRNA from 1 species
CUUAGAUUGAACAAAUGAUC